GACAGAGGGUGCAAGCGUUGUUCGGAAUUACUGGGCGUAAAGGGCGUGUAGGCGGCGAUGUAUGUCCGUUGUGAAAUCCCUCGGCUCAACCGGGGAACUGCAUUGGAAACUACAUUGCUAGAGUGCGAGAGAGGGUGGCGGAAUUCCUAGUGUAGAGGUGAAAUUCGUAGAUACUAGGAGGAACACCUGAGGCGAAGGCGGCCACCUGGAUCGUAACUGACGCUGAGACGCGAAAGCGUGGGGAGCAAACAGG
rnacentral:rRNA from 1 species